rnacentral:rRNA from 1 species
UGGGGAAUUUUGGACAAUGGGCGAAAGCCUGAUCCAGCAAUGCCGCGUGUGUGAAGAAGGCCUUCGGGUUGUAAAGCACUUUUGUCCGGAAAGAAAUGGCUCUGGUUAAUACCUGGGGUCGAUUACGGUACCGGAAGAAUAAGGACCGGCUAACUACGUGCCAGCAGCCGCGGUAAUACGUAGGGUCCAAGCGUUAAUCGGAAUUACUGGGCGUAAAGCGUGCGCAGGCGGUUGUGCAAGACCGAUGUGAAAUCCCCGAGCUUAACUUGGGAAUAGCAUUGGUUACUGCACGGCUAGAGUGUGUCAGAGGGGGGUAGAAUUCCACGUGUAGCAGUGAAAUGCGUAGAGAUGUGGAGGAAUACCGAUGGCGAAGGCAGCCCCCUGGGAUAACACUGACGCUCAUGCACGAAAGCGUGGGGAGCAAACAGG